rnacentral:tRNA from 1 species
GGAGAGGUGGCUGAGCGGCCGAAAGCGACGGUUUGCUAAACCGUUAACGGGGCCUAAACCCUGUUCCCGGGUUCGAAUCCCGGCCUCUCCGCCA